GUGGGAAUAGUCCAAAGAUGUCUAUUUCUCAUGGGACUAAAGACCAAAGAGCGUUGAUUGGUGUGAGUGGGGCCUCCAGUUGAUGUUGGAUAUUCACAUAUUAUUGGCAGUAGUCACAUUUUUUCACAAAAUCAGCUAUAUUCUUCUGGAUGCUUGGCUAGUUGUAGCCAUGUUGCUGGACUUUGUAAGCUAAGACUUUGUCUCCCAAGUGAUUUAUGUAGAUUCCUUCAUAGACUUCUUGAAGUGCAUAUUCCACCUC
rnacentral:lncRNA from 1 species